CCGUCGACGGUACCGUUAUCUGCGGCUGAUAACGCAACACGGGUGCGAGUCGCGUAAUGGCCGCGGCCCGAACAAAUGGAACCGACUGUCAACCUUGUCGUCGGGCCCCGAUUAUUUCCGAAUAAAUUAGAAAUAAUGUGUAAAUGGGUUAACGAAACGGUUGGCGGGCUGCACUGCUGGUGUCACCGUUUUGUUAUAAGACUGUGUAAUGGAGGACAAAGUAGAGGACCGGAGUAGAGGACUCUAUACAUCAAUAAGUCCAUAUCUCUAAGUUGGCGCAGAAUUCCAGUAAGGUUCUUCUAGAU
rnacentral:lncRNA from 1 species